UCCCUGAGUGUAUGUGGUGAACCUGAAUUUGCCUUGGGUUUCCUCAUAUUCAUUCAGGAGUGUCAG
ensembl:miRNA